CCCGAUUGAUUCUGUCGGCGGUUAUAUGCUUAUCUCAAAGGCUAAGCCAUGCAUGUCUAAGUUCAAAUGGCCUAUAAAGGUGAAACCGCGAACGGCUCAUUACAACAGCUAUUAUAUACUUGAUCUUGAUAUCCUACGUGGAUAACUGUGGUAAUUCUAGAGCUAAUACAUGCACCAAAGCUCCGAUUUUCUGACGAGCGCAUCUAUUAGAUUAAAACCAAUCGGGUUUCGGCCCGUUAAUUGGUGACUCUGAAUAACUAUAGCUGAUCGCAUGGUCUCGAACCGGCGACGUGUCUAUCAAGUGUCUGCCUUAUCAACUGUCGAUGGUAGUUUAUGUGCCUACCAUGGUUGUAACGGGUAACGGAGAAUAAGGGUUCGACUCCGGAGAGGGAGCCUGAGAAAUGGCUACCACAUCCAAGGAAGGCAGCAGGCGCGCAAAUUACCCACUCUCGGCAUGAGGAGGUAGUGACGAAAAAUAACGAGACCGUUCUCUAUGAGGCCGGUUAUCGGAAUGGGUACAAUUUAAACCCGUUAACGAGGAACUAUGAGAGGGCAAGUCUGGUGCCAGCAGCCGCGGUAAUUCCAGCUCUCAAAGUGUAUAUCGUCAUUGCUGCGGUUAAAAAGCUCGUAGUUGGAUCUGCGCCUCAGGAUCUGGUCCGCCCACUGGGCGAGAACUGGGCUCCUGGGCUAGUUCUGCUGGUUUUCCCUACGUUGCCUCGGUCGCGUAGGGUGGCUAGCGAGUUUACUUUGAAAAAAAUUAGAGUGCUUCUAACGCGGGCUUAUGUCUGAAUACUCGUGCAUGGAAUAAUAGAAUAGGAUCUCGGUUUCUAUUUUGUUGGUUUUCUGAUCUGAGAUAAUGGUUAGAGGGGACGGAGACGGGCAUUCGUAUCGCUGCGUGAGAGGUGAAAUUCUUGGACCGUAGCGAGACGUCCGACUGCGAAAGCAUUUGCCAAGAAUGUCUUCAUUAAUCAAGAACGAAAGUCAGAGGUUCGAAGGCGAUCAGAUACCGCCCUAGUUCUGACCGUAAACAUACCAAAUCAGCUUCCGUCGCCGGUAAAUAUGCCUUGACGGGUUAGCUUCCCGGAAACGAAAGUCUUUCGGUUCCGGGACAGUAUGGUUGCAAAGCUGAAAACUUAAAGAAAAUUGACGGAAGGGCACCACCAGGAGUGGGAGCCUGCGGCUUAAUUUGACUCAACACCAGGAAAAAUCACCUGGCCCGACACCGUAAGGAAUUGACAGAUUGAGAAGCUCUUUGGUUCCGGGGUUGGUUGGGCNUAUAUAUAUAUAUAUAUAUAUAUAUAUAUAUAUAUAUAUAAAGCAACCCACUGAAAACUACCACCACCCUAAAACAAUGAAACGCGCUUAGUUAUUAUCUCGUGCACCUCUUCGACAUUCAAUGAGGGCCGAAUCCCACGUCUUCUCUUCCACACUGUUCAACAACAACGAUAUCCACUAGGAUGAAAACCUCCUAAAAAUGCGCAUUCUUCCAAAAAGCUUUCAAGUUGCUGCCACCAAUUCUUAUGGUUCCAUUAGAGCCACAAAUUGCUCCUAUUGCCAGCUUAUCGAUUUACGCCAAAAAACGAAAAAAAAGCCGAAUUCACAAACUUACAUCAUUUUCAAUAAAGAGCAUCCUUCUAUAAGGUAACGAUAUCGGGAAACUAGCCGUAGGUGAGCGU
rnacentral:rRNA from 1 species